rnacentral:rRNA from 1 species
UACAGAGGUCCCAAGCGUUGUUCGGAUUCAUUGGGCGUAAAGGGUGCGUAGGUGGCGGGGUAAGUUGGAUGUGAAAUCUCGGAGCUUAACUCCGAAACUGCAUUCGAUACUGCCGUGCUUGAGGACUGGAGAGGAGACUGGAAUUUACGGUGUAGCGGUGAAAUGCGUAGAUAUCGUAAGGAAGACCAGUGGCGAAGGCGGGUCUCUGGACAGUUCCUGACGCUGAGGCACGAAGGUCAGGGGAGCAAACGGG